rnacentral:miRNA from 1 species
GACGUCGAUAUUCGACGUCAUAAACACGGUCAACUUUCGUGUUUAUGACGUCGAUAUUCGACAUCAUGAACACGAUCAAUUUUGGUGUUGAUGACGUCGAUAUUCGACCUCAUAAACCCAUUCAACUUUGUUGGAUAACUUUGGCUGGAAAAAAAUGAAAAUUUUUUUAAAAUUCGUCGAUAUUCGACGUCAGAAACACGAUGAACUUAGAUGUUUAUGACGUCGAUAUUCAACGUCAUAAACACGAUCAACUUUGGUGUUUAUGACGUCGAUAUUCGACGUC